UCUCAGGAAUGGUGGGCGCCGUCCCCACCCCUCACUGGCAGUGACGGUGGACAACAAAGGGGCUCGGGGUGGCGGCCAGACAAAGAGUUGCAGCGCCGGGGGAAGUUGGGAACAAAGGUAGGGGGCUGGGAGCUUCAGGGAGACGCGCUACAAGAACCCCAAAGCAGAAAGUGCCUUUGUCUCCUGGGCUGCCCAAACUUGCGGAAAGCCGGGUGGUCCUACCUCACCCGCCGCCCACCUGGGCCUGAUCGGCCGCGCUGGGACGAUGCCCUCACCGCGCAUCCAGCUGAGAGGGAAACAGGUCGGACCUGGGCAGCGCCCGAGGGAAAGCCUGGGUAGCCAGCGGCCGGCAUGUAAAGGCCCCGCCUCCUCAAAGGAAAGGCUGCUGGGUCUCUUGCUGAACUGAAGCUUGCUGUCUGACUGGGCUGACUGACCAAGGAGCUCCUGGGAUCUACUUGUCUCCAUCCCCCAUCCCCCAUCUCCCCAGGGGGCACAUGGGCUCACUGAGACUGAGGCUGUGAGAAUGCAUUCUGGGUAUAUGACCUCAAAGUCGGCCACAGAUAACAAUGUCCAGAGGACCAAGAUAACAGCUGCCUGCAGCCCUCCCUCCUCCUGGAAGACACUGGCCAGAUUACAGGGAGCACAGACAGUCCCUGUAAAUAGAAAGUGAACAGAAAAGAAGCAACCAGAUGAUUAAACACAUCCUCACUAAGUAUUUUCAUGCCCUCUUCUGUCAGAGGUAAAACUCUUGGCUACCUACCUCUCCAGCACCAUGUCUGCCUGCAUGCCACCAUACUUCCUGCCAUGAUGAUAAUGAACUAAACCUCUGAACGGGAAGUGCAAAUCAAACCCACAAUGAUACACCAUUUCAUGCUAAGAUGACUCACAUGAAAAGUUGAAUUUUGGCAAGGAUGUGAACCAUCAUGGGUUGCAAGAGAAGUGUACAAUGAUGCAGUCACUUUGGAAAGCAGUUUGGCAGUUCCUCAGAAACUUUGAACAUAGUUACCAUGUGACCUGAAAAAAAUUUGCUCUAAGGACCCAUGGAACAUGCCAGAAGAGAGGAGCAGACAGAUCUUAACAGGCCUGGCUCCUAGAGUAUCCUGCACUGGAUUCCUGGUGAUGAGCAAUGCGGAUUAAAGAUUAUGACAGCAGCAAAGUGUUUCCCGGAACAAUGCUUCAUAUGUGCCCCAGGGCAAUUCAGCUCUCUUUGAUUUCUCCUUCUGCAGCCCCUGAUGGAGACCAUUAAAGAAAACCAAACCAAGCCAGGCAUUGGUGGCACACGCCUUAAAUCCCAGCAAUCGGGAGGCAGAGGCAGGUGGAUUUCUGAGUUCGAGGCCAGCCUGGUCUACACAGUGAGUUCCAGGACAACCAGGGCUACACAGAGAAACCCUGUCUCGGAAAAAAAAGAAAGAAAGAAAGAAAGAAAGAAAGAAAGAAAGAAAGAAAGAAAGAAAGAAAGAAAGAAAGAAAGAAAGAAAGAAAGAAAGAAAGAAAGAAAGAAAACCAAAACCAAUCAAAACGCAGGUAUGGAGACCAGUUCCAAUGGACAGAUGGACCUCUAAGGUUCAAGGAGCUCUGUGGAAGGGGGUGGGGGUGGGGGGAGUAGAGAUUGUUAGAGCCAGAGGAACAGAAGUUUGGUGUUAUAAGAUUGUGUUUCCUAGGAAUGUCAGAAGCUACACACAUAAAGUCUCACCAACAUGGCUACCUAAAGGUGACCUGAAC
rnacentral:lncRNA from 1 species